rnacentral:rRNA from 1 species
UACGUAGGAGUCGAGCGUUGUGCGGAUUUAUUGGGCGUAAAGCGCCCGCAGGCGGCCAGGCAAGUCCAGGGUGAAAUCUCGCGGCUCAACCGGGAGGGUGCCCUGGAAACUGCUUGGCUUGAGGCAGGGAGAGGGAUGUGGAAUUCCCGGUGUAGUGGUGAAAUGCGUAGAUAUCGGGAGGAACACCAGUGGCGAAGGCGGCAUCCUGGCCCUGUCCUGACGAUCAGGGGCGAAAGCGUGGGGAGCAUACCGG